rnacentral:rRNA from 1 species
UACGGGGGGGGCAAGCGUUGUUCGGAAUUACUGGGCGUAAAGGGCUCGUAGGCGGCCAACUAAGUCGAACGUGAAAUCCCCGAGCUCAACUCGGGAACUGCGUCCGAUACUGGCGGGCUUGAAUCCGGGAGAGGGAUGCGGAAUUCCAGGUGUAGCGGUGAAAUGCGUAGAUAUCUGGAGGAACACCGGUGGCGAAGGCGGCAUCCUGGACCGGCAUUGACGCUGAG